rnacentral:rRNA from 1 species
CUUGGUCAUUUAGAGGAAGUAAAAGUCGUAACAAGGUUUCCGUAGGUGAACCUGCGGAAGGAUCAUUACAGAAAGUAAACGCGGAUCGAACCGCGAACUUCUAAACCUUUGACGAUUGACUCAUGUUGCCUCGGCGGGUUCUCCCGCCAGAGGAUACAUCAAAACUCCUGUUUUAACGGUGUUGUCUGAGCUACAAGCAACGAAUCAAAACUUUCAACAACGGAUCUCUUGGUUCUGGCAUCGAUGAAGAACGCAGCGAAAUGCGAUAAGUAGUGUGAAUUGCAGAAUUCAGUGAAUCAUCGAAUCUUUGAACGCACAUUGCGCCCCUUGGUAUCCCGAGGGGCAUGCCUGUUCGAGCGUCAUUUCACCACUCAAGCCUGGCUUGGUGUUGGGCGACGUCCCCUUUGGGGACGCGCCUCGAAACGCUCGGCGGCGUGGCACCGGCUUUAAGCGUAGCAGAAUCUUUCGCUUUAAAAGUCGGGGCCCCGUCUGCCGGAAGACCUACUCGCAAGGUUGACCUCGGAUCAGGCAGGGAUACCCGCUGAACUUAAGCAUAUCAAUAAGCGGAGGA